ACUACUUUGGCAGAUAAGUGUGGUAGAUUUAGAAUCUUCUUAUGUAAUUUUUUUUACAGGUAGUA
rnacentral:tRNA from 1 species